UUUUUCUUCUUCACCUCCACUCCUUGAUGGAAGUCCACUCGUUGUUGACUUUGUCAGUGCUACAGAAUUCCAAGUGAGGUACUGAAAGUGUUAAUAGCGGUUUCUCCUGAGAAAAUCAACAGCUGCUGAGGUGAGCUGGGCAACUGCUUAGAUGAGUUGGAUGUGAUCCUGUCCCGUUCCUUAAUGACAGCUCACUUGUAUUCA